ACAUAAGAUAUUUUGGAAGUGAACAUCAUUUUUUCAUUUUGGGAAUACACAGAAAUCGCUAAUUGCUCUUAGUCACUCUAUUCAUCUCCUUUCAUCUUCUUUAGCCUCUUCUUCGAUCCUUUGAACAAUUUCUCUCCCAAACAACCAGAACACUAGAGCUCUUCUUCUCCUCCGUCUAACCAAGCAAACAUCUGCAUCGAUUCUGAGCAAACUUGUGGUGAGCUUGUGAAGUUUUGCAGAGAUAUCAAUCUCAUGGAAAUGGAGGGAUGGAGGUUUUAUCAUGAAAUCUGAGAAAUAUUUGAGGUUUUCUUCUUCAAUUGUUGGAGGUUUUCUUCUUCAAUCUUCGAGGUUAUAGCUGAAGAUACUACAAGUUUGAGCUUUUGAGUUGUCAUAUCUAUACAAGGGACUUUUCAGGAUCAUACUGAUCCUUUCAAAAAGCACCUGGAUCCACAUACCUACCAGGCUCUUCCGGUGGGAAUUGCUCCUACUGCAUUAAUUCUUGUACCCACAAGGGAAUUGUGUCAGCAGGUUGAAAUUUGCUGCUUUUAUUUUGGGAUUUUUUGAUUUUUUUUUGGUUUUCAGUUUGUGGGUAUAUUUUAUUUGUGUUUGUUGUAUAGGUUUGUUCAGAGGCUAAUUCAUUAAUUGAACUAUGUAGAGUGCAAUCGAGGCUUGUCCAAUUGACAAGCUCUAUGUCUGUUUCUGAAUUGAAAACUACCUUGGUGGGGCCUCCGAAAAUUGUUUUAUCUACUCCUGCUUGUUUAUAGACAUGCUUGUCAACUGGAGUUAUUCAAGUGAAAGUUGUUCAAGAUUUUCUAUCCAUUCUCAUUCUCGAUGAGGCAGAUCUUCUUUUGUCAUAUGGAUAUGAAGAUGAUCUGAAAGCUCUUACAUCUCAUGUAUCAAGACAUUGCCAGUGCCUUCUGAUGUCUGCAACCUCAAGUCAUGUUAACAUUGCAGUUCUGAUGUUGAAAAGCUGAAGAAGCUUAUUUUACACAAUCCAUAUAUCCUAACUUUGCCUGAGGUGGGAGACGCAAAGGAUGACGUUAUCCCAACAAAUGUUCAGCAAUUUUAUGGUGAUCCCCAUACUUUUGCCUUCUGUAAUAACUUGAGUAAGAAGCUGCAUCUUCUGUGUUAAGCCGUGGAUUUAAGAGGUAUCUAAAAUGGAAUUGUUGAAGUUUGUUCUAUUAUACCUCCGAGUCUAUGUGGAUGGUGCAGUCCAGAGAGGGAGUGCUUUUUGAGUCAUAGUUGAAAGUUAUGGGGAGUCGUGGAUCCGCAGGAUGUGCAAGAGUGUAGCUUUUGCUUGUACAAAACCCAAUAGCAGCCUGGUUGACAAGCUUUUAAAAUUAGCUUAUUUUGAAAAGUGCUAUUUCAAAAGAGUACUUUUGGUGAGAAGCAGUUUGGAUUUGGCUAAUCGAUUUAAAAAGCACUUUUGAGUAGCACUUGUUGCUUUUACUAGUCACUUCUGAAACUUCUUGAAACACGGUGGAGGCAAAUGUAUAAUGCUUAGCUUUGGAUGAUGAAGUUCGGUAAAGUCCCAUGGAGGAUUACUCUUUCAAUGUGAUGAUGUUUUUAGCUUUAACGACACUGGCCACACUUAAGAUAAGGUGAAACAAAUGAAUAAAUGGAAGACAAAAGGAUUGGACUUUACGUAAAGAGUGUUCGUAGAUUGUUUCUAGAGACCUUAACAUUCUAGGAAUGUCCAUUUUUGAAUUGAAUUUUUUAGAUUUUUGUAUAUAUAAAAUAAAAUUAAUAUCACUAGCAAGAAUUUUUGGUCUAUGAUUAUGCUGAUGAAUACUUUUUAUCGUGAUUUAUUUGAAUUUUAG